rnacentral:hammerhead_ribozyme from 1 species
AUCUAGUUGAUAAAUCCGAAAUAAGACGAAACGCGCGUCUUGGAU